rnacentral:rRNA from 1 species
UAAGGAAUAUUGGACAAUGGGGGCAACCCUGAUCCAGCCAUCCCGCGUGUGCGAUGAAGGCCUUCGGGUUGUAAAGCACUUUUGGCAGGGAAGAAACAGCCUGGGCUAAUAUCCCGGGCGACUGACGGUACCUGCAGAAUAAGCACCGGCUAACUACGUGCCAGCAGCCGCGGUAAUACGUAGGGUGCAAGCGUUAAUCGGAAUUACUGGGCGUAAAGCGUGCGCAGGCGGUUCGGAAAGAAAGGUGUGAAAUCCCAGGGCUUAACCUUGGAACUGCACUUUUAACUACCGGGCUAGAGUACGUCAGAGGGGGGUAGAAUUCCACGUGUAGCAGUGAAAUGCGUAGAGAUGUGGAGGAAUACCGAUGGCGAAGGCAGCCCCCUGGGAUGAUACUGACGCUCAUGCACGAAAGCGUGGGGAGCAAACA